rnacentral:rRNA from 1 species
UACGUAGGGUGCGAGCGUUGCCCGGAAUUAUUGGGCGUAAAGGGCUCGUAGGCGGUCUGUUGCGUCGGGAGUGAAAACUCAGGGCUUAACCCUGAGCCUGCUUCCGAUACGGGCAGACUAGAGGUAUGCAGGGGAGAACGGAAUUCCUGGUGUAGCGGUGAAAUGCGCAGAUAUCAGGAGGAACACCGGUGGCGAAGGCGGUUCUCUGGGCAUUACCUGACGCUGAGGAGCGAAAGUGUGGGGAGCGAACAGG